UACGGAGGGUGCGAGCGUUGUCCGGAAUCACUGGGCGUAAAGGGCGCGUAGGCGGCUCAUGAAGGCUGUGGUGAAAGUCCGGGGCUCAACCUCGGAUCGGCCGUGGCGACUCGUGGGCUGGAGCACUGUAGAGGCGGGUGGAAUUCCGGGUGUAGCGGUGGAAUGCGUAGAGAUCCGGAAGAACACCGGAGGCGAAGGCGGCUUGCUGGACCUGGUCUGACGCUGAGGCGCGAAAGCGUGGGGAGCGAACAGG
rnacentral:rRNA from 1 species